rnacentral:rRNA from 1 species
UACGUAGGGGGGCUAGCGUUGUCCGGAAUCAUUGGGCGUAAAGCGCGCGUAGGCGGCCCGGUAAGUCCGCUCUGAAAGUCCAGGGCUUAACCCUGGAAAGCGGGUGGAUACUGCCGGGCUUGAAUCCGGAAGAGGCGAGUGGAAUUCCUGGUGUAGCGGUGGAAUGCGCAGAUAUCAGGAGGAACACCAAUAGCGAAGGCAGCUCGCUGGGACGGUAUUGACGCUAAGGCGCGAAAGCGUGGGGAGCAAACAGG